UCUGGAAACUNUCUGACUUGAGUGCAGAAGGGGAGAGUGGAAUUCCAUGUGUAGCGGUGAAAUGCGUAGAUAUAUGGAGGAACACCAGUGGCGAAAGCGGCUCUCUGGUCUGUCACUGACGCUGAGGCUCGAAAGCGUGGGUAGCGAACAGGAUUAGAUACCCUGGUAGUNCACGCCGUAAACGAUGAGUGCUAGGUGUUAGGCCCUUUCCGGGGCUUAGUGCCGGAGCUAACGCAAUAAGCACUCCGCCUGGGGAGUACGACCGCAAGGUUGAAACUCAAAGGAAUUGACGGGGGCCCGCACAAGCGGUGGAGCAUGUGGUUUAAUUCGAAGCAACGCGAAGAACCUUACCAGGUCUUGACAUCCCGAUGCUAUUCUUAGAGAUAGGAAGUUACUUCGGUACAUCGGAGACAGGUGGUGCAUGGUUGUCGUCAGCUCGUGUCGUGAGAUGUUGGGUUAAGUCCCGCAACGAGCGCAACCCUUAUUGUUAGUUGCCAUCAUUAAGUUGGGCACUCUAGCGAGACUGCCGGUAAUAAACCGGAGGAAGGUGGGGAUGACGUCAAAUCAUCAUGCCCCUUAUGACCUGGGCUACACACGUGCUACAAUGGUCGGUACAACGAGUUGCGAGCCGGUGACGGCAAGCUAAUCUCUGAAAGCCGAUCUCAGUUCGGAUUGGAGGCUGCAACUCGCCUCCAUGAAGUCGGAAUCGCUAGUAAUCGCGGAUCAGCACGCCGCGGUGAAUACGUUCCCGGGCCUUGUAC
rnacentral:rRNA from 1 species